GAAGACUCCAUUUUUCAGUUUUGGAAUACAACGUUUGACUCUUCGUCUUAUUUGAAAAAAAAUAUGAUUACUAUUUUUAUUGUUAUUAGAUAAUAAAACAUAAAUCAUACUUUAUGCAUGACUAAUUAUUUUUAAUUUCAUAAAAUUUAAAUAGGUCAAAUGGUCAAACGUUGAACACAUAAACCUAU
rnacentral:pre_miRNA from 1 species